UACGGGAGGCAGUAGUGGGGAAUAUUGCACAAUGGGCGCAAGCCUGAUGCAGCCAUGCCGCGUGUAUGAAGAAGGCCUUCGGGUUGUAAAGUACUUUCAGUCGUGAGGAAGGUGUUAAGGUUAAUAACCUUAGCAAUUGACGUUAGCGACAGAAGAAGCACCGGCUAACUCCGUGCCAGCAGCCGCGGUAAUACGGAGGGUGCGAGCGUUAAUCGGAAUUACUGGGCGUAAAGGGCACGCAGGCGGUUAAUUAAGUUGGAUGUGAAAUCCCCGGGCUUAACCUGGGAAUGGCAUUCAAGACUGGUUAGCUAGAGUCUUGUAGAGGGGGCAGAAUUCCAUGUGUAGCGGUGAAAUGCGUAGAGAUGUGGAGGAAUACCGGUGGCGAAGGCGGCCCCUGGGACAAAGACUGACGCUCAUGUGCGAAAGCGUGGGGAGCAAACAGGAUUAGAUACC
rnacentral:rRNA from 1 species